GAUGAACGCUGGCGGCGUGCCUAAUACAUGCAAGUCGAGCGAAUGGAUUAAGAGCUUGCUCUUAUGAAGUUAGCGGCGGACGGGUGAGUAACACGUGGGUAACCUGCCCAUAAGACUGGGAUAACUCCGGGAAACCGGGGCUAAUACCGGAUAACAUUUUGAACCGCAUGGUUCGAAAUUGAAAGGCGGCUUCGGCUGUCACUUAUGGAUGGACCCGCGUCGCAUUAGCUAGUUGGUGAGGUAACGGCUCACUAAGGCAACGAUGCGUAGCCGACCUGGGAGGGUGAUCGGCCACACAGGGACUGAGACACGGCCCAGACUCCUACGGGAGGCAGCAGUAGGGAAUCUUCCGCAAUGGACGAAAGUCUGACGGAGCAACGCCGCGUGAGUGAUGAAGGCUUUCGGGUCGUAAAACUCUGUUGUUAGGGAAGAACAAGUGCUAGUUGAAUAAGCUGGCACCUUGACGGUACCUAACCAGAAAGCCACGGCUAACUACGUGCCAGCCGCCGCGGUAA
rnacentral:rRNA from 1 species